rnacentral:lncRNA from 1 species
CAGCGUUAUUGUGAGAGUGAAAGUGGACGUGCUGCUACUCCCCUCAUUCCCAACAUGUAUCAAGUACCUGCAUUGAGUAAUGCAAGAGUGAGAUGACACAUCUCAGCAAGUAAAAUAAUAUCAAACUGUUUAACCACAUAAGAAUAUUGUUUUACCACCACUUGAUUCCACAACCUUCUUAUUACGAAGGUUCAGCACGUAUACAACGUACAACACACCUAGUCACCACACCUCGCAGGUAGAAACCACAAUAGUAACAUAGUAAUGUCACACUUCAUAUAUACCUCAUGAGUGCAAAUGUCUGCAAAUGCAAGGAUGACUUCUGCCUUCAUACCUCUAAGGAUAUGAAGCCGCAUCGUACCCCUCCUCGGGCAACGUACGAUGCUAAAAAUGUACCGGUACGGUCGGACCAUAAGAUCACGACAUAACUUCAAAAUGCAAGAUGGAUGAUGCGAUGAGCAUGUCAUGCCUACAACACUUCAUAUAACGUGAUUCAAAAAAAUACUUCAACUUCAUCCAAGAUGGGAAUCAACCACAUAUAUCAUUACCAAAUUAUGAUCAUCCACAAUAUUAGACAAUUGAGAAUUAAUACUUCCAAACAAAUAAACAUCAUCAUAGAAUUCAAUGAUUAACAUAAUUAAAACUUAUGCAUACUCAAUGUCAGGGAAUAGGAUGCAACCCAAACGGUAGCAACCACCACUGUAUUUACUUGCCUUUACCGGAAGUUCGGGCAAAUGCCUAAGUACGAUCCGGAAGUCCACCACCUUGGGUUCCUCCUUUCCACCUUCUUUUCUUCCUUCUUCCUCCCUCCAAACUCCCAUGGAAGACUCGCACCCACACGACGGACACCAAGCGGGGAGGCUCCACCUUGGAGAGGAAGAGGUGGGGGGGGGGCUAGGGUUGAGGGGUGGCGCUGCAAUCACUUGGGGAAGAAGGAGAGAGAUUGGGGUGGCUGCAAGAGUGGAAGAGAGAGGGGAAGGGCGGCCAAAGGGGUGGGGGAGUGAGAGGGAGGGGGCGGCUAGGGUUUAGGGGGGGGAAACUAAUGGGCUCCCCACCGCCGGAUCGAGAUCCACAGCCCAAACUCGCUCUCAUGUCUGCUCCCGACCCCAACGCACAAAUCCAACAAGUAUUCUACUAUUUUAUUGGUGAAUGCGUCAUAAAAAAACUCCAACCCCAACUACACAGAUCACGAAAGAAAAGGGAAAAAUACAUUUAACUUCUUUUCAGAAAAUUGGGUAUCACACUCUACCCCCCUUAAAAAGAAUUCGACCUCGAAUUCCGACGCUUCUAUCAGAACGACAAGGAAAGAUCAAUAAAUCAACAAAACUCACACAUAAAGAAAGGUUCGGGUACUUCUGCCGCAUCAGCUCCUUAAGCUCCUAGGAUUCUAAGAUACGCAGCAGACGACACUCUAGAGUCUGGUCUUGCUACACAGGAAUCGGCUCUAGCUCGAUUUGAUGGUCUGGAUUCCGCAAAUACUUCCUCAACAUAAAGACAUGGAAUAUAUGGUGUACUCUGAUCAUAGACUCCGACAAUUCUAGGUGCUAAGCCAAGCUGCCAACUCGGGCUAAGAUAGUAGACGGUCCUAUAUAACUCGGACAAAGCUUUCCUAACACCAAAUCAACAUUGACACAUGCAAGUACUUCAAUAAAUAUAUAUAUAUGAAUGCAAUACAUACUGUGCUCAAAUAGCCUAAACCAAACCUAUCCAAACAAGAGUAACUUCAAAAGAUCAAUUUAAUGCUUGCAUAUUUCUAGACAGCAGCACAACGGUUAUUUGUUUUCCUCAUAACUCACAAAAUAUUCAUCCAAUAGAAGUAAACUAGGACUUUAUGGAAAGCUUACAAAGUCCACUAUACCCUUGGUAUUAUCAUCACCACAAGAUUUGACACUUAGAAAGGCCAAACAAUGCGAAACGUAAAUUUUGUCCAGACUUGAACAGAAUUCAACUACUCACUUCAAAAAUCCAUAAUUGGAGUCUCAGUCAUCCCAUUCAGGCGCUCCUAGACUUUUUAGAAAGCCAGUAAAAUUGUCUAUAUUUCAUUUAUAAACCUAUCAGGUUAAUUCAAUGCAUAUCAAGAUCAAAAGACAUAAGAAAGGCUUUGCUGUCCAAAUUUGGACAGAUUCAAAGAUUCCAAUUAAAACAGAUGUAGCUUAACUUAUAGGUCACCAAAAAGGGUGAUCCAAAAUUUGUUGGAAAGCUUAAGGAAAGUACUACCACUUCUUUAUAAUUUAUAAGAACUUAUUCGAAGUUUAACUUGGGCAAACAAGGUCAGUUUCAAAAUCUGUACAGAAUCUGGACAGAUUCCAAGACUAGACUUGAGAAAAAUCAUAACUCCCAAACUACUAGACCUAUGGUCAUGACAUUUUACACAAGUAAGAUGAAGAAGUUGGCUACAACUUUUAUAUACAACACCUCUACCGAAAACAUGGUGUAAUUCAUUGAACUAGCGGCAUAACCAAAACUCGUCAUGUAGUCCCAAACAGCAAGCAAUAGAUUUAUUCAGGUUCUAUACUCUUCUAAGAUUAAGCGUUCAUCGAAGGACUAAUAACUUUAGGUUCUUCAUUACGAGACACUUAGAGCCAACAUAAGGGUAGAAGCAAUAUGCUUACUUUUUAAAUCAUUUUAAGCCUGAUCUCACAUCAUGCAAGCAAGAAUCAAUUUAAGUAUACUAUGCCUGCCCAUAUAUCCAUCCAAUAACUCAGACAAUAUGCAUCUCCACCUAGACUUCACACGACGUAACUAUUUCAUACUUACGCAAACACGCCAAGACUAGAAAACAUGGCUUCACAACAAUACGUACUGGCCUAUUCAAAUAUCCCUCGCUAUCUCUCUGUUUUAGCCCACGCUCCACAUAUACAAUAACAAGAUAACUAUCACAACCACUACAUCUAUUCCCUCCCACCAUACAACAUAAUUAACAUGGAUUGCGAAAGAGCUCACCAUAACUAAACCAAACUCCCAAAGAAAUAUACCUAAAUAGAAAAUUGACAAUCAACAACACAAAUACUCAUUCUAUCUCUACCUCUUUCACUAUAAAAGCAAUGAUAACAAAGAAAUAUUGUUAAAUCAUCUAAACUUCAUGACCUACAACUUUUGUAUUCAAAGGAUAAACAAAGUUUUUUUUAUCUCCAUUUUUUAAUUUGGCUUGUAAGGUGACAUACAUGAUCUGCCACCAGAACCUGACGGAACAUGACCCAUAAAUUCAAAACCUCAUAACUCUCUGCAUCUAACAAAAUUUUACAAAUAUAAACUCAUUGAAAAGAUUAUAACAUUCCCUAAAACUUUUAUUAUAAUGAGUGUCUCAGAAUUGGUUUCCAAACCGAUAAAACAAUGCAACUGCUUUGUUGCAAAACUGAUAGGUUAGAAACAAUGGACAACUAAAAUUCAAAAUACUAUAACUCCUGCUAUACUCAACUUAAAACUACAACGAACACGCGUUGAAAAAGUUUGGAAAUUGUCCACGACUUUUGCAAUAAAGUUCCACCCAAAUUUAUCUUUAUAGCCCUCAACUCUGCAUGACCUACAGCUAAACUCAGCCUGAGAUACUGCACAUCAGAGAUUCGACUUAUAUCCGGACAACCACCUCUUCCAAUCUAUUUAACAGACAAUUACAAGUAAAUACCCAUUAAAAGGUACUAAGAAAAACUAAAAGUUUUUCUUAAAGAGAAUUCCCAAAUUUGGGCUCUGAAACUAUCAAAACGUGGUCGAUUUAUCAGUGGUUUUAACGACACCUAAAGUUGAGACACAACGGUGCAACAACUUUAGAGUAGCCUAACUCCAAUUAUAUGCAAUGAAAAUUACAAACCAAUACUCUUUGGAAAGAUCAUGAAAUUACUAAAACUUUCAUAAUCCAACAAAACCCAAAAUUUACCACAUUCAAUGUCUAUACUUCCGUACAAAAUUAAGGCUGCUAUAGGAAACCCAUAACUCUCAAAUGUUUAGACCAAACUGGGUGAUUGAGCAUCCUAUGCAAAGAUGAAGAAACCUACUAUAAAACAUUCUAGAUAAGUGAAGCCUGAUUCAGCCUCCAACUAAUUUAAAAUGACUCCCAAAACAAAACAACACCUUACCCAUAAUAAAAAACAAUAUAAAAUAAAACCCCAGGCAUUGGCAGGUGCGACCAACAUUAGGAUUUUCCACUACCAAAUGGGGAUGCAACUCCCCAAAGCCUUUAAGCAACACUUUACCUAAUAGGUUAGAACACUAAGCACCACAAUCAACGAAUUCAACAACCUCAUUUGUUAAUGCCACUAAGGUCAAACAUCCAUGUAUCGACAAUGUAUGAAACACCUAACAUACUCGUCUCUAGCACUAUAAAACAUGGUUGUUAUUACACUAGAAUCCAACUAUUAGAGCUCUCCACAACUAUUCUGUUGACGUGAAGCAAAUGGUGCUCAUGUCAUGUAACGUCUUUUCCUCCUCUCAAAAGAGAUAAAAUUUGCAAUACUCAUAAAGCAAUGGAGGGAUAACAAGAAAAACUAAUGUACUUCUUGACACAGACUCAUGCAAAAGCUUCAUAAAUAUUACUUUCAAUACUAAAAUAAUAACACGCUACUAUGCUCAACAGGAGUAAUUGGACGUCCAUAAGACAAUCCACAUAACCAAACUACCUUGAUUAACCUCACAUACAACAAAACCUACUAUUACUGCACUUGAACAAUUUGUACUUCGUGAUAUCACAGGAUGCAUUCAAAGUAGUAGACAUACAUGAUCUAUCAAACCAUCAUUCAUAUAAGAAAAAUCUCAAUACCGAUGCAACAACCCCAUCAUUAAAGAGAUCGAUGACUAACAAACAUAAGCAACUCCCAGUUAAGCAUUGACUUCGUUUAAGAUAAAGCGGUCCAAAUAAUGAUUCAACAAGCAUGCAUAGAGAAACUGCUCAUAAAAAAAAUCAAACUGCCAUACAAUGUUGGCAAAUAAAAAAAUAUAAAACGGGUUGUUAAUAUCGCCCACAUGACUAGCCUGCAACAACUAAAAAAAUAUGCAUAGCCUUUAUGGCUAUUGAAAUAAGCCAUAGAAGGAAAACAUGCACGACAUAAAAUCCACUUGAAACCACCCUAUUUAUUGUUAAAAAUAAGGUUGCACAUAAUAAGAAAACCUAUCAGGUAGACAUGGUUGGACUUAUCAAUCUACGUCAUGUCACAAAUUCACUCGAGUUUUACCAGACUAAAGAUUUCAUAGACAUUACAACGUUGCAUCUGCUCUAUAGAGACAAACCAAUUUUAUACUAAGAUCAAGUUAGCAAGUAGCCACACUAGCCUAAAAAAGUGAGGCGCAAAGCAUUACACCCAUGGAAAUAUUACAUUGAUAAGUUGGGUUGUAACCCAACAGUGAAUCAAACUCAACAACACCAUAAAACUACAUUAUAUAGUGUUUUCACACUACACCAAGUCAGAUUAGACCCACUAUACACAAGCUCAAUAAACAAUUGGUCCUAUAAGUACAAGAACCCAAGAAUCCUUUUGGGAAAAAACAUCCACAAUCAAGUGUAUAGAAAUACAUGAUGGUAAUAGCUCAGAGAUUUGAAAACAUUGCAUCCCAAAAAAAACAUCAUGACGAUAUGUAUAUAAAACAAGUACAUUAUUAGCUUCACUUGCAUAAUAUCUUCAAUAACAACCACAUCAAGAAACCAAUACUAAAUAGAAGUAACAUAUCAUAUCAAGCAUUACGUCGUUAACGACAUACCCCAUCAAACCAUAAAGGGAUUUGGAGUAAGGAAGUUCUAGUCAUCUAUACAAUAAAAUACUAAUAUGAAAGAGAUACGAACCCAUACCCUUCCUAUAUAUGCAAGUGUGUCAAAUUUAUCUUCAAAUUGCAUAGAAUCUAAAGCCUAUCCUCUGAUACCAACUGUAACACCCCGGGGUCCACCAACACCCCGGAAUGCUACUAAACAACACUUCUGACAUCUAUAUAUAAAAUUUCGGCAGCAUCCCCCUUGCAAAAUUGCAUAAAUGAGGGGGCAACAGUGUAUAAACAUAUAUCAUGACAAAAACAUACUAAGUAUUAUUAAUCGGCUAGCAAAGAGAAGUUAAACAUACGACAUGAAGUGAAUUAACUAGUGCGCACGACUAGUUAAAAAAACAAACUUCCUUUGACAAUAAGUUUCUAAUUAAAUCAUGGCUGCGCCUGGGCAGCGUUAUUGUGAGAGUGAAAGUGGACGUGCUGCUACUCCCCUCAUUCCCAACAUGUAUCAAGUACCUGCAUUGAGUAAUGCAAGAGUGAGAUGACACAUCUCAGCAAGUAAAAUAAUAUCAAACUGUUUAACCACAUAAGAAUAUUGUUUUACCACCACUUGAUUCCACAACCUUUUUAUUACGAAGGUGCAGCACGUAUACAACAUACAACACACCUAGUCACCACACCUCGCAGGUAGAAACCACAAUAGUAACAUAGUAAUGUCACACUUCAUAUAUACCUCAUGAGUGCAAAUGUCUGCAAAUGCAAGGAUGACUUCUGCCUUCAUACCUCUAAGGAUAUGAAGCCGCAUCGUACCCCUCCUCGGGCAACGUACGAUGCUAAAAAUGUACCGGUACGGUCGGACCAUAAGAUCAGGACAUAACUUCAAAAUGCAAGAUGGAUGAUGCGAUGAGCAUGUCAUGCCUACAACACUUCAUAUAAUGUGAUUCAAAAAAAUACUUCAACUUCAUCCAAGAUGGGAAUCAACCACAUAUAUCAUUACCAAAUUAUGAUCAUCCACAAUAUUAGACAAUUGACAAUUAAUACUUCCAAACAAAUAAACAUCAUCAUAGAAUUCAAUGAUUAACAUAAUUAAAACUUAUGCAUACUCAAUGUCAGGGAAUAGGAUGCAACCCAAACGGUAGCAACCACCACUGUAUUUACUUGCCUUUACCGGAAGUUCGGGCAAAUGCCUAAGUACGAUCCGGAAGUCCACCACCUUGGGUUCCUCCUUUCCUCCUUCUUUUCUUCCUUCUUCCUCCCUCCAAACUCCCAUGGAAGACUUGCACCCACACGACGGACACCAAGCGGGGAGGCUCCACC